GACACCCCUGUGCUCUCCUUCACCAGGUUCUCCUUCUCAUCCCUGACACCCCUGUGCUCUCCUUCACCAGGUUCUCCUUCACCAGGUUCUCCUUCACCAGGUUCUCCUUCUCAUCCCUGACACCCCUGUGCUCUCCUUCACCAGGUUCUCCUUCACCAGGCUCUCCCUCAUCCCUGACAGCCCUGUGCUCUCCUUCACCAGGUUCUCCUUCUCAUCCCUGACACCCCUGUGCUCUCCUUCACCAGGCUCUCCUUCACCAGGUUCUCCUUCCCAUCCUUCUCUGUUUCAGAAGUGUGUAAAGCCCUGAAAUAAAUUGAUAGAACAGAAUCCCCUGUCCCUGAUGAACUAGACCCCUGCUUCCUACACCUGCUGCUGACAUCAUUGCUCCACCCUAUAUUUCUAACCUCACGCUUGAUGUUCAGGAAAUCCCCAAGUUAUGGAAAUCUGCUUUUGUACUGCCUCUCCUGAAAGGUGGAGAUCCUUCGCUACUUGACAACUAUCGUCCCAAAUCAAAACCGUCUGUUCUGUCAAAGGUCCUGGAGUCCUUAGUUAGUAGGUCCUGGAGUCCUUAGUUAGUAGGUCCUGGAGUCCUUAGUUAGUAGGUCCUGGAGUCCUUAGUUAGUAGGUCC
ensembl:lncRNA